rfam:Stegodyphus mimosarum contig126227, whole genome shotgun sequence.
GCCUUCGUAGUGUAAUGGUCAGCACACUGAGCCGGUAUUUCAGAGGUCCGUGGUUCGAUUCCCUGGCGAAGGCA